rnacentral:rRNA from 1 species
UACGGGGGGGGCAAGCGUUGUUCGGAAUUACUGGGCGUAAAGGGCUCGUAGGUGGCCAACUAAGACAGACGUGAAAUCCCCAGGCUCAACCUGGGAACUGCGUCUGAUACUGGAUGGCUUGAAUCCGGGAGAGGGAUGCAGAAUCCCAGGUGUAGCGGUGAAAUGCGUAGAUAUCUGGAGGAAUACCGGUGGCGAAGGCGGCAUCCUGGACCGGCAUUGACGCUGAGGAGCGAAAGCCAGGGGAGCAAACGGG